UGGGAAACUGGGAAUUAUAUAUUUUUGGCAUAUUUGAAAUUACUUUUCUUUUACUUAAACUUUUCCUAGCUUAUUCAUACUCGGGGAUGUGGGAGUUUGUACUCUACCACUUGUGGUUAGCACUUAGCAGAUCACUAAUGAAAAUUACAUUUCCAUUUGAGUAAAUUUUGAGAACAAUGUUAUGUGCUUAUAGAUUGAUAGGAGGAGAGGGAGGGCAGCGGCAUGUGUUGGAUGUUAACGGAGGCAAUAUUAUUCAUGUGAAUAGUACCCUUGCGAAUAAUAUCCUAGGUGAGAGACGUCUAGAGAGAUAGAGGAAAAUCUUUUCUACUUGGUUAAAUCAUUAAAGGGUACAAGGGCCCUCUAUUAUAGAUGAAACUCAACUUGGCUCUCAACGCACCUUAUAGACAGGAUCUUACAAUCAUGAUUCCCUA
rnacentral:lncRNA from 1 species